ensembl:snRNA U2 U2 spliceosomal RNA
AUCACUUCUCGGCCUUUUGGCUAAGAUCAAGUGUAAAAUGUACCAAUAAAAGGAUAUACAGUUUUUUAAAAAACUACAUCUCAAUAAAAUUGUCACUUAAG